GUAAAAGUUAGGUCAAGACACUAUGACAGGUUUUGGCCGUUAUACUAUAAAUCAUGGUGAGAAAUGCAUGAAUGUAUUAAGUCUUGCAGAAAGCUUGGGAGGAGCUGCUGACAAUGGAAUUGAGGAAGAAAAGUCUCGUUGAAUUCAUUAGAAAAUGGUACAUCUCUUAGCUCCAUUUGUUUUCAAAUAUCUUCUGCCAUUUCUGUUGUUGCAGGUUUUCGACGCAGAAUGAGAAUGAUUAAAGGUCAAGGGUUCUAAAAUCCAAAAACAUUAUGACACAAAGUUCUACUAAUAGUUCCAUCUUAUGAUGCAGCAUGAUGUCCUUUCAUAGUUUUAGAGUGUUAAUACAGGAACUUCUACAAGCAGGAUUUAUUGCUGUUGAAGAUCUUACACAUCUUCUUGUCCCUCUAUGACAUGACGCUGGGACUAAGAUCCUGAUCCACUGAACUUUAGCAAGACUCUCAAAUUCACAAGGGUUUUCAUUUCAGUUGCCUUGUCUUAGUAAACCUGAGGUACCAUCUACGAUCUCUUUCUUGUAAAUUUAUGCAUUACCUUAGAAAGUGAAAAAUCCUGAGCUGAUUUAGAAGGAUAAAGAGACUAUAUCCUCUGCAGUUUGAAAACAAAAGGGGGAAAAAGGUUUGGCCUAUAUAUAUCGCUUAUAUCUUCCAUGUCCAUGAUUUAGAAUUUAGAAAGAUCUUAAUUAGAUGUAACUUGGGAUCUAUCUAUGCAUAUGCAGCUUUUGCAUCUCAAACUGCAUCUCAAUAGUCUUGUUGAAAUUGCAUAUGCUUUUUUUACGUCACAUCAACACAUUUUGAUUUGAAUAUGCAACACUAACUAGCAAUAAAUCCCAUUUUAUUUUUGGAUCUCUUGUCUUAGCCUUAACUUACAUAAUCAAGAUAUAUGUAAAUUAUUAGGUCCCUCUCAAAUCGUUACCAUCUGCAUUUUAAGUUUUUUGACAGUAAGUGUAACAUGAAUAUAUAUAUGCAUAAGAUCGAUCUCAGGCUGAGGAAAGAAGCUUAUGUUAGACUGAAUCAAACAAGUUGCAGAGGUGGUUGGUCUUGGUUGGAGGAAUUCUGAUUCGGUUCAAGAAGGUUAACCGCAAUAUAAUUCCGGUUAUACUGCCCCGACUGGUGAGAAGAAGUAACACCCGACUCGUAAACUGUCCCUUGAUGUAUCACACUCGAUUCUUGUUGCUGUAGACCUGUUCUUUCAGUAAUCUGCAGAGAUAUUUAGAAUUUGCACAUCAAGAGAUUGUCUACCGGAAAAAAAUGAUGAUCAAAAAUGCCAAAAAGAGUUAUGUAUAAAACCUUGGAGCGGAGAUACAUGUUAUCGUUUUGCAGCUCGAUUUCCUACAAUGCAAGCGACAACAGAAAAUAAAAAAAGAUGAUCAUCAGAAAGAGAAGUUGCUAAUAAAGUAGGGGGUAAGUUACUUGUGAAGGAAGAUAGGUUUUACUUUUACCCUUUUUUGCAUGUAUUCAAUCUCUGCAACUAACAUCUCGUGCUGGAGAGAAAAACCAAAUAUAACGGGCAAGAAUCAGAUGGAUAUAUAUUCAAUGAUAAGGAGAUUGAUGGAGAGUUAGUGAUUGUACCUUCUUGGAUCGGACACGACUGAUUCCUUUCUCAAGCCUACUUUCAAGGUUCUUGAGUUCCUUAAAGUUCAAGGAACCAAGAGAUUCACCAAGAAUGUGUCUGUUCAAAUUCUGAAUGUCCCGAAUCUGUCUCCGGAGUUUAGACGCCUCUUGCUGAUAGUACUUCAUCAAUUUCGAUCCCAUCAUUGUUACAAGAGGUGAAAAAAAGGUCAGAUAACUAAAAGAAGAAGAAAUUAAGUAAUUAACGAACUAGCUAGCUAGGUGUAUUAAUUAAAAGCUAACCUGAGUAUUAGCUUCGGUGAUGGUCGGAGGGUUAACGGCGUCGGAGCAAGCUUUCUUGUACCUUUCUAUUGUUCCUCUCACACUUCAUCAACAUUCACACAAAGGAAAAGAUUUUAAAAUGCAAUCUUUUUUGUGGUAGCUAUAUAUGUAAAUAGAUGCAAUCGGUGAAAAUCUCAAACUUAAACCACCACAAGUAAAACAAAGACACACGAAACUAUAACUGUUGGAUUCAAACACUAAAACCAGAAGAGAAAAAAAUAUAUAUAUAUGAAGUCGUUAAAGAAAUUGAUAUUUUUAUCUUCUGGAUAUACAAAACACACAGAAAGACGGAUAUUAAGGUUUUGAAAAUAAAGUUUUGUCCGCCCAAAACCUUAAAUUCAACCGACAAAAUAGUGAAUGGACCAGUACCAUAUAGUAUAUGAUUUGUUUGCCCUUCUUUUUUUGGGAUAUUAUUGUUAUUGCCUAUUAUCUAUUAACAGUGACAUCUCACAAAGUUAUAUAUAUAUAUAUAUAUGUAUAAUCAAAGUUCGAGAAGACCCUAAUGUGUACUUCCCCAAAAAAGUGUAAUCCUAAUUUGAAAACAUACAAAAGAAAGAAGUAGCAAAUCGGAGAAGAAAAUAAAAAGAAUUUGAAUUGCAUAUGCUCUUAGUUAAUUGGAAUUGGUCCCAAUUUAUGUACGACACAAAAUCCAAAUUAUAUUUUAGGCUAG
rnacentral:lncRNA from 1 species